rnacentral:lncRNA from 1 species
AAACACUCAUGGCGUCCCCAGGGCAUGCAGGGUAGAGGGUGACGCGAAAUUAAAAGGGAAGGAGAUUAUUUUUAAUCCUCUUGGUAGGUGUUGAAACAAUGCAGGGAGGGCCAAGCCGCUGAGUCGGUCGCCUUAGACUGAGGCUGGAAGGACCGACGCUGCCACUGGGAGCAGGUAUGUCACUUCUCCUUUCGUUCUGCGAGGCGUUUGGGGACUGUUUCCACUAUU